UUGCAGAUCAGGCCUACCCAGUGACAUCAAUUUCUGCCUUCAGCCUGCUCAGAGAAUGGAAGAAUGGAACAUAACUAUUACGCUGUAAACACCACUACAUAUCACAUGACUUGGAAGAAGAAGUGAAGUAAUCCUCAGAACUAAGUGGUGUCACUGCUGCUGUGCUUCUCACUACAGGCUUUCCUCACAGCUCCAAAAGAAGCUCACACACUGGGCUGCA